rnacentral:rRNA from 1 species
GACGAACGCUGGCGGCGUGCUUAACACAUGCAAGUCGAACGGAAAGGCCCCUUUGGGGGUACUCGAGUGGCGAACGGGUGAGUAACACGUGAGUAACCUGCCCUUGACUUCGGGAUAACUUCAGGAAACUGGGGCUAAUACCGGAUAGGAAUCCUUGCUGCAUGGUGGGGGUUGGAAAGCUUCGGCGGUUUUGGAUGGACUCGCGGCUUAUCAGCUUGUUGGUGGGGUAGUGGCUUACCAAGGCUUUGACGGGUAGCCGGCCUGAGAGGGCGACCGGCCACAGUGGGACUGAGAUAAGGCCCAGACUCCUACGGGAGGCAGCAGGGGGGAAUAUUGCACAAUGGGCGGAAGCCGGAUGCAGAAACGCCGCGGGCGGGAUGACGGCCUUCGGGUUGUAAACCGCUUUCAGCAGGGGCGAAGCUUGUGGUGACGGUACCUGCAGAAGAAGCACCGGCUAACUACGUG